UACGUAGGGUGCGAGCGUUGUCCGGAAUUAUUGGGCGUAAAGAGCUUGUAGGCGGUUUGUCGCGUCUGCUGUGAAAAUCCGGGGCUCAACCCCGGACUUGCAGUGGGUACGGGCAGACUGGAGUGUGGUAGGGGAGACUGGAAUUCCUGGUGUAGCGGUGAAAUGCGCAGAUAUCAGGAGGAACACCAAUGGCGAAGGCAGAUCUCUGGGCCGUAACCGACGCUGAGGAGCGAAAGCAUGGGGAGCGAACAGG
rnacentral:rRNA from 1 species